AUGGGCUCCUAUCGAAGCCGUUCGUGCUCUCAUGUAGCAGUGAUCGGUCAACAGGAAGCCGAGAGGAAGACUUUCACCGACGGUCGCUGUUCAGUUUGAAAAUAACUGUUUCAGCAACAUUAAGGGGAAGGACACUU
ensembl:snoRNA